rnacentral:rRNA from 1 species
UAAGCGGAGGAAAAGAAACCAACAGGGAUUGCCUCAGUAACGGCGAGUGAAGCGGCAGCAGCUCAAAUUUGAAAUCUGACCCUUUUAGGGGUCCGAGUUGUAAUUUGUAGAGGGUGUUUCGGGCGAGGCGCCGGCCUAAGUCCCUUGGAACAGGGCGUCAUAGAGGGUGAGAAUCCCGUAUGCGGGCGGUGACCGAGUCCUUGUGAAACCCCUUCGACGAGUCGAGUUGUUUGGGAAUGCAGCUCUAAAUGGGUGGUAAAUUUCAUCUAAAGCUAAAUACCGGCCAGAGACCGAUAGCGCACAAGUAGAGUGAUCGAAAGAUGAAAAGCACUUUGGAAAGAGAGUUAAAAAGUACGUGAAAUUGUUGAAAGGGAAGCGCUUGCAACCAGAUCUGUUCUCGGGUGAUCAGCCGUCGUUCUCGGCGGUGCAUUCACCCGUUGCAGGCCAGCAUCGGUUCGGGCGGUCGGAUAAAGGCCCCGGGAAUGUAGUUCCCCUCGGGGAGUGUUAUAGCCCGGGGUGCAAUGCGGCCAGCCCGGACCGAGGACCGCGCUUCGGCUAGGAUGCUGGCGUAAUGGUUGUAAGCGGCCCGUCUUGAAACACGGACCAAGGAGUCUAACAUCUAUGCGAGUGUUUGGGUGUCAAACCCAUGCGCGGAAUGAAAGUGAACGGAGGUGAGAACCCUUAAGGGCGCAUCAUCGACCGAUCCAGAUGUCUUCGGAUGGAUUUGAGUAAGAGCAUAGCUGUUGGGACCCGAAAGAUGGUGAACUAUGCCUGAAUAGGGUGAAGCCAGAGGAAACUCUGGUGGAGGCUCGCAGCGGUUCUGACGUGCAAAUCGAUCGUCAAAUUUGGGUAUAGGGGCGAAAGACUAAUCGAACCAUCUAGUAGCUGGUUCCUGUCGAAGUUUCCCUCAGGAUAGCAGUAACGUUUUCAGUUUUAUGAGGUAAAGCGAAUGAUUAGAGGACUGGGGGAUGAAACAUCCUUCACCUAUUCUCAAACUUUAAAUAUGUAAGAAGUCCUUGUUACUUAGUUGAACGUGGACAUUCGAAUGUACCGUUACUAGUGGGCCAUUUUUGGUAAGCAGAACUGGCGAUGCGGGAUGAACCGAACGUGAGGUUAAGGUGCCGGAAUGCACGCUCAUCAGACACCACAAAAGGUGUUAGUUCAUCUAGACAGCAGGACGGUGGCCAUGGAAGUCGGAAACCGCUAAGGAGUGUGUAACAACUCACCUGCCGAAUGAACUAGCCCUGAAAAUGGAUGGCGCUCAAGCGUGCUACCUAUACCUCGCCGCCAGGGUAGAAACGAUGCCCUGGCGAGUAGGCAGGCGUGGGGGUCGGUGACGAAGCCUUGGGAGUGAUCCCGGGUCGAACGGCCCUUAGUGC